UACGGGGGGGGCAAGCGUUGUUCGGAAUUACUGGGCGUAAAGGGCGCGUAGGCGGCGCGGUAAGUCACUUGUGAAAUCUCUGAGCUUAACUCAGAACGGCCAAGUGAUACUGCAGUGCUAGAGUGUGGAAGGGGCAAUCGGAAUUCUUGGUGUAGCGGUGAAAUGCGUAGAUAUCAGGAGGAACACCGGUGGCGAAGGCGGCAUCCUGGACCGGCAUUGACGCUGAGGCGCGAAAGCCAGGGGAGCAAACGGGA
rnacentral:rRNA from 1 species